rnacentral:rRNA from 1 species
GUGGGGAAUCUUGCGCAAUGGGCGAAAGCCUGAUCCAGCCAUGCCGCGUGUGUGAAGAAGGUCUUCGGAUUGUAAAGCACUUUAAGUUGGGAGGAAGGGCAGUAAGUUAAUACCUUGCUGUUUUGACGUUACCGACAGAAUAAGCACCGGCUAACUUCGUGCCAGCAGCCGCGGUAAUACGAAGGGUGCAAGCGUUAAUCGGAAUUACUGGGCGUAAAGCGCGCGUAGGUGGUUUUGUAAGUUGGAGGUGAAAUCCCCGGGCUCAACCUGGGAACUGCCUCCAAAACUGCAUGACUAGAGUACGGUAGAGGGUAGUGGAAUUUCCUGUGUAGCGGUGAAAUGCGUAGAUAUAGGAAGGAACACCAGUGGCGAAGGCGACUACCUGGACUGAUACUGACACUGAGGUGCGAAAGCGUGGGGAGCAAACAGGAUUAGAAACCCGUGUAGUCC